rnacentral:rRNA from 1 species
UGGGGAAUAUUGGACAAUGGGGGGAACCCUGAUCCAGCCAUGCCGCGUGUGUGAAGAAGGCCUUUUGGUUGUAAAGCACUUUAAGCGAGGAGGAGGCUACCCUAGUUAAUACCUAGAGAUAGUGGACGUUACUCGCAGAAUAAGCACCGGCUAACUCUGUGCCAGCAGCCGCGGUAAUACAGAGGGCGCGAGCGUUAAUCGGAUUUACUGGGCGUAAAGCGUGCGUAGGCGGCUUUUUAAGUCGGAUGUGAAAUCCCUGAGCUUAACUUAGGAAUUGCAUUCGAUACUGGGAAGCUAGAGUAUGGGAGAGGAUGGUAGAAUUCCAGGUGUAGCGGUGAAAUGCGUAGAGAUCUGGAGGAAUACCGAUGGCGAAGGCAGCCAUCUGGCCUAAUACUGACGCUGAGGUACGAAAGCAUGGGGAGCAAACA